rnacentral:rRNA from 1 species
CGGACUGUGGUCUGCAACUCGACCACACGAAGCUGGAAUCGCUAGUAAUCGCGAAUCAGCAUGUCGCGGUGAAUACGUUCCCGGGUCUUGUACACACCGCCCGUCACACCAUGGGAGUCAGCAACGCCCGAAGUCAGUGACCUAACCGAGAGGAAGGAGCUGCCGAAGGCGGGGCAGGUAACUGGGGUGAAGUCGUAACAAGGUAAC